GAUAAGUGCCAUUACAACAAUUACAAUUGAAUCUGGUCAGGACUGAAAGGUAGCAGCCAUAAGAUUAAGGAUUGUGUGUAAUGGUUUUUAUUUAUUA
rnacentral:SRP_RNA from 1 species